AUGCUUGCUUCGGCAGCACGUAAACUAACAUUGGAAGGAUACAAAGAAGAUUAGCAUCGCCCCUGUGCAAGGGUGACAUGCAAAUUCGUGAUGUGUUCCUUAUGUUU
ensembl:snRNA U6 U6 spliceosomal RNA